GAUUUUCUACAGACAAAAGGCUGGUGGAGGACUUGACUGGGGGUUUCUUCUGGGAAAGCCUCAGUGGGUCCUGCUUGGUUACCAUCCAGCCCUUCCCUAGUCCACCCCUGCCUGGCGUCUCCGCCCUCCAGGAGAAGGAAGUCAGCACGGAAACAGGCGGGAGGCCACGUGAGAGUUCAGAUGCCCUUUAUUUCUUUAGGGUGAAGUGUACACCUUGUCAGGGUGGCUGAGCGGUGAAGAAGACGCCUGCAGCGCAGGACAUGCCGGGGACUGGAGCCUGGUCUCCGGAUGCGUAAGAUCUGCUGGUGUAGGAAAUGGCAGGCCACUCCAGUAUUUUUGCUGGGAAACCGCAUGGCCAUUGGAGCCUCGGGGGGGCCACAGCGCAAAGGGUCACAAAGAACGACUGAACAGGCACACAGGCGGGAAGGUAAGAUUUGGGCGUUGCCAGCAACAGCAAAAAUUCGGUUUCUAUGUUUUGUCCUGCUUCUUGCAGUGGAGGAGCCAAUACAGGAAGGCAAGCUGGUAAUCUCUGUCUCCUGAACACUGUUAUCAUCUUGUCAGUGAUGUCCCUCCAGGUUCAAAUCAGUCCUGUUGGUUAGGCAGGCACGUUUGGCACGUGUAAAUCAUAAAUCUUGGUGAUGAAGAUCCCACAGUGCUAAACUUUUUAACGUGAUCCUGCAUUUUCUUGAGACUUCGCCAAGAUCACAUAGAUACUGGAAGUGAAAGUGAAGUCGCUCAGUCGUGUCCAACUCUUUGCAGUGUAGCCCAGAAGGCUCCACGGUCCAUAGGGUUCUCGGUGCAAGAAUACUGGAGUGGGUUGCCAUUUUGUUCUCCAGGGAAUCUUCGUGACCCCGGAAUUGAACCCAGGUCUCCCGCAUUGCAGGCAGAGGCUUUACCCUCUGAGCCACCAGGGAAGCCCAUGAGAUACUGAAGUGGCAGAUAAAUAGAGAUUAAACCGUGAAGACUUCAGAUCUCUUUUGACAAAACAUCGGCUUAAAUAUAAAUAAGAUCUUAUUCUGUAAAGAACUCAGGCCCAGCUGGUUCCAUGCCACGGAACCUAUCUUUUUUAGGGCCCAUCUCAUCAGACCUUUGACUAGGGGUUUAAGCAGCCAUGUGAAGGGUGUCCAGGCCUGCUCCAUUCUGUAUGCUUGUAAUUGAUCUUCUACAAAUUUACUUGCUUUCUCUGUGAGAACAUUAGCAAGUGUAUCUUGAAGAGUUUCCAUUAGCUCGGUCUUGGUUAAAGAAAUCAAUCUCUCCAUGCCAGAAAAGGGAGCUUGUGUGAGUGUGUCUGUUCCUUUCAGUCCACGUCCUGAAUUUAUUUGCUCGGUAUGAGCAAUCUCCUCCACUUGUUGUAUGUUAAGCGCUUUACAGCGCAUAGAAUUUUUAAAGUGCAGUUGUAACUCUUAAGUCAGAUUUAAGUGCUCCACUUUUUAAGACAAAGUAGGCUUUUAGAGCUCAUAAAAUUUCUAAAGGGCAGUUGGAAAUCCCCAGUUUCCUGAUAACUUUCAUUUGUCAGCGGUCUAAGUUGUCAAAACUUUUGAUUGGCUCUCUUGAUUUCCGUGCACGUGGACAGCGCGUGAUCACCAUAGACUCCUGUUAUAAUGAUGGCACAUGACGAUUUGACCUUUAAUGUGAUUGGUGCAAUUAUGGAAAGUCCCUGGUGUAAGAAACGCCGCGGGAAGAAAGAGCCACCUCUACGGACCGUUGAUCAGAGCCAUUAUUGGGCGGUCGCUCUCGGACAGAACUCCCGGGGAUCAUCGAUGGCGGUGACCCUGGUGGACACUGCUCCCGGUGAUCGUCGGAUUACCUGUCCUCUCCUUGCUGACCUUCGUCAGUGCCACGGCUGUGCAACAGUUUUUAGAGAAGCCUGGGUUUAAUGACACACAAGGCCAUCAACCAUGAGGGUACAACAGUGUCAGCAUCCGUACUGGGAGUUCAACAAGCUCAGACCAUCGAGGUUAUAAACAUAUCCAGUGCCUCUGCUCAAGGAUUUCAAACCAGCUCGAACACCUGAAGAUCCGCCAUAAUGGGACUCCAACAACAGCUUGAUCUCCACGCCAGAGCGAUCGAGACGUUGAGUGUCUUGGCGCGCAUAGACUGGGAUGUGAGAUACCCCAGCUUUUGUCUGACAGCUUUUCCAGUGUUAAAUGAGACUCUAACAGGUGAAAAAGGGAGCAAUGGAUCUAUGGGACUGGGUACAAAGUCCAUUUACCUGGUUUAAAAAUGCCUUCUAUUUGCUUGUUUUUGUUAUUCUGCUUGUUGUAAUGUUAAAGGUAAAAAAUCUCACAGCCCACAAUAGGUGCUUACAGCAAAAAAUAGUUAUGCUUGCCCAGGUCAUGGAAAAGGAGUCCCACAUUGGGCACCCACAAAAUCUCUGGAUUAAUUUAGCCCUUCGAGAGAUUAACCGAGACAUAUAAAUAAAAAAGAGUUCUAGAUACCCAUCAUCUAGAGAGAUUCCGCCUAGCCCCCAAGAGGUGGCUGGAUAGCCAAUGACGGGUAAGACCCUCAGAGGAGGGCAACCUAAGACAGGCACAGCCGCGAGAGGGGCUGGCGAGGCUGGAGGUUGGCCGCCUACAGUUUUACGCCUUGCCUUACAGAACAUCAAUACAAAUGUCUCCAGGGCUUAAAUCAAAUAAAAAAGGGGGAGAUGUGGGGCCCUAAAUGGGAAACCUUAAAGAGAAGGGCUAGCUUUGCAGUUGGAAACUAAGAUGGCACCUGGUGGAAGAGAUAGGUGCGUGGUCUAAGAGGUUUUCAAAACUUUUGAUUGGCUCUCUUGAUUUCCAAGCACGUGGACAGCACGUGAUCACCAUAGACUCCUGUUAUAAUGAUGGCACAUGACGAUUUGACUUUUAAUGUGAUUGGUGCAACUAUGGAAAGUCCCUCGAAACCCCCCCCCCCCCCCCGCCGCUUGCCUUUAUAAGUCGGGAGCUUGUGGCAAAAAAGCGGAACUGCUUAGAUGGAACCCCUGUCGCAUCUGAUUGUCUCUCACUUGCCGAGGGGCUGGGUUGGCGGACAGCAGGCUCACCUCUCCUCGGGACCCCUCGGCUUUGCUGAGGGAAGUUCCACUGCCUCUCUCUUUCUGCGGAGCACCCCCCGCAUCAAUGUUUCUUUAUCUUUACCUUCUUAUGAAUAAAAACACUAAAUAUGUUUAUUAAACACACAUCUUGUACCACCUAAAGAAAAAUUAUGCUUUAUGAAAUCUAAUGUUCGUAAAAAGAAAUACAAUUCAA